rnacentral:rRNA from 1 species
UUGAACGCUGGCGGCAUGCUUUACACAUGCAAGUCGAACGGUAGACCCUUUCGGGGGUUGAGAGUGGCGAACGGGUGAGUAAUGCAUCGGAACAUACCCAGUCGUGGGGGAUAACGUAGCGAAAGUUACGCUAAUACCGCAUGAGUCCUGAGGGAGAAAGCGGGGGAUCGCAAGACCUCGCGCGAUAGGAGCGGCCGAUAUCGGAUUAGCUUGUUGGUGAGGUAAAGGCUCACCAAGGCGACGAUCCGUAGCUGGUCUGAGAGGACGACCAGCCACACUGGAACUGAGACACGGUCCAGACUCCUACGGGAGGCAGCAGUGGGGAAUUUUGGACAAUGGGGGCAACCCUGAUCCAGCCAUUCCGCGUGAGUGAAGAAGGCCUUCGGGUUGUAAAGCUCUUUCAGCAGGAACGAAACGGUGGCUACUAAUACUAGCUACUAAUGACGGUACCUGAAGAAGAAGCACCGGCUAACUACGU